AUGCUGCGGCUAAACAGAAGCUAUAGAACGAAAAAAAUAGACUCAGAGAAAGAAAAGGGAGGAGAAGAAAAAGAGGUUGGAACCAAAGAGGUUGAAAAUAGAUUUACACAUGAGUUGAGCAUUUGGAUCGAUAAGAAGUCGAGCUUUGGCUAAUUCGCUUCUAGAAAGGGACUAGUUGAUGCGAGCGAGAAUUUCGUUAAUUAGAGUACACGAGUUGCUAAUUUUUUGUGAGCUCUGUACUUGUUCGCGUG